rnacentral:rRNA from 1 species
UAGAUACAGAACCAAUACACCAUCUGUUAACAGCAGGUGGUGUAAAAAAGGUGAUUCAUAGUAACCGAACGGAUCGCAUUAUGGUCAUUUUAUAUGGCUGGCGAUAGAUCAUUCAAGUUUCUGACUUAUCAGCUUUCGACGGUAGUGUAUUGGACUACCGUGGCAGUGACGGGUAACGGGGAAUUAGGGUUCGAUUCCGGAGAGGGAGCCUGAGAAACGGCUACCACAUCUAAGGAAGGCAGCAGGCGCGCAAAUUAAACAAUCCUGAUUCAGGGAGGUAGUGACAAGAAAUAACAACACUGGAAAUUUUAUUUUUAGUGAUUGGAAUGAUGGGAAUUUAAACCCCUUUCAGAGUAACAAUUGGAGGGCAAGUGUGGUUCCAGCAGCCGCGGUAAUUCCAGCUCCAAUAGCGUAUAUUAAAGUUGUUGCAGUUAAAAAGCUCGUAGUUGGAUGUCUGCUGGAAGCAAUCAGUCCGCCCUAUUUGUAGGGUGUGCACUUGAUGAAUUCUGGCAUCUAUGUCCCAAUAAUAUGAGAUGGUGUAUACCGUGUGUACACCCAUCUAUAUUGGGAUAAUACCGUUACUUUGAGAAAAUUAGAGUGUUUGAAGCAGGCUAAUUGCCUUGAAUACUGCAGCAUGGAAUAACAAUAUAGGAUUUCGGUUCUAUUUUGUUGGUUUCUAGGACUGAAAUAAUGAUUAAUAGGGACAGUUGGGGGCAUUCGUAUUU